rnacentral:rRNA from 1 species
UGAAUACGAGAUGCUACGGCGUCGAAGCAGUGUAUGUCAGACUUCCAAGAAAAGCUCGCAAUGUCAUAAAUAAAGAAUGCCUGUACCAUAACCGACACAGGUGGGUAGGUAGAGUAUACUAAGGGGCGCGAGAUAACUCUCUCUAAGGAACUCGGCAAAAUAACUCCGUAACUACGGGAGAAGGAGUGCCUUCUUUAAGAAGGUUGCAAUAACAAGAUCCAAGCAACUGUUUAUCAAAAACACAGGUCUCCGCUAAGUCGUAAGACGAUGUAUGGGGGCUGACGCCUGCCCAGUGCCAGAAGGUUAAAGAAGCUGGUUAGCAAUAGCGAAGCUGGUGACUGAAGCCCUGGUGAACGGCGGCCGUAACAAUAACGGUCCUAAGGUAGCGAAAUUCCUUGUCGGGUAAGUUCCGACCCGCACGAAAGGCGUAAUGAUUUGGAUACUGUCUCGGAGAGGGACUCGGUGAAAUAGACUUGUCUGUGAAGAUGCGGACUACCUGCACCAGGACGGAAAGACCCUAUGAAGCUUUACUGUAACCUGAAAUUGAAAUUGGACUUUAUUUGCGCAGUAUAGGUGGGAGGCGUUGAAAGUAAUCUUGCGGGAUUAGUGGAGCCAUCAGUGAGAUACCACUCCUAUAAUGUUAGAUUUCUAACUUUGGAUCAUGAUCUGGACAAAGAACAGUUUCAGGCGGGCAGUUUGACUGGGGCGGUCGCCUCCCAAAUGGUAACGGAGGCGUACAAAGGUUUCCUCUGAACGGGUAGAAAUCGUAUCUAGAGUGUAAAGGCAUAAGGAAGCUUGACUGUGAGACCUACAAGUCGAGCAGGGACGAAAGUCGGUCUUAGUGAUCUGACGGUGCUGAGUGGAAAGGCCGUCACUCAACGGAUAAAAGUUACUCUAGGAUAACAGGCUGAUCUCCCCCAAGAGUUCACAUCGACGGGGAGGUUUGGCACCUCGAUGUCGGCUCAUCGCAUCCUGGGGCGGUAGUACGUCCCAAGGGUUGGGCUGUUCGCCCAUGAAAGCGGUACGCGAGCUGGGUUCAGAACGUCGUGAGACAGUUCGGUCCAUAUCCGGUGUAGGCGUUAGAAUAUUGAGAGGAGCCUUCUCUAGUACGAGAGGACCGAGAAGGACAUACCUCUGGUGUACCAGUUAUCGUGCCAACGGUAAACGCUGGGUAGCUAUGUAUGGAGAGGAUAACCGCUGAAAGCAUCUAAGUGGGAAGCCCACCUCAAGAUGAGUAUUCUCAC